rnacentral:rRNA from 1 species
UACGAAGGGGGCUAGCGUUGCUCGGAAUCACUGGGCGUAAAGGGUGCGUAGGCGGGUCUUUAAGUCAGGGGUGAAAUCCUGGAGCUCAACUCCAGAACUGCCUUUGAUACUGAGGAUCUUGAGUACGGGAGAGGUGAGUGGAACUGCGAGUGUAGAGGUGAAUUCGUAGAUAUUCGCAAGAACACCAGUGGCGAAGGCGGCUCACUGGCCCGUUACUGACGCUGAGGCACGAAAGCGUGGGGAGC